GUGGGGAAUCUUCCGCAAUGGACGAAAGUCUGACGGAGCAACGCCGCGUGAGUGAUGAAGGUCUUCGGAUUGUAAAGCUCUGUUAAUCGGGACGAAAGAGCCUAGUGUGAAUAAUGCUAGGAAGUGACGGUACCGGAAUAGAAAGCCACGGCUCACUACGUGCCAGCAGCCGCGGUAAUACGUAGGUGGCAAGCGUUGUCCGGAAUUAUUGGGCGUAAAGCGCGCGCAGGCGGAUCUGCCAGUCUGUCUUAAAAGGUCGGGGCUUAACCCCGUGAUGGGAUGGAAACUACAGAUCUAGAGUAACGGAGAGGAAAGUGGAAUUCCUAGUGUAGCGGUGAAAUGCGUAGAUAUUAGGAAGAACACCAGUGGCGAAGGCGACUUUCUGGACGAAAACUGACGCUGAGGCGCGAAAGCCAGGGGAGCGAACGGGAUUAGAAACCCUUGUAGUCC
rnacentral:rRNA from 1 species